CAUAAACAUACCAGUACUGUUUGCCUUGCACACUCCUUCUCCAAACCGGAAGUCCUGGUUGGGGCCUGCGAUGGGUUCAUGAGGCACCAGAAGGUGUGGUACAAAGAGGCUGCAGGUCGGCUGCUUGGAGAGGUUUUGAACGGUAAUCAGACGUGGUCCUGUCUGACAUUGAAAGACGGCGUGGUGACAUCAGAGGCGUGUUUGAAAGGACAGAAGCGACAACAGUGGCAAUACACCCCGGCGAUGACGAUACGACAGGUUGCAGUGGACAAGUGUAUCAGUUUGGAGGACGGGAAUAGACUCUCCUUACAUACAUGCACACAAGGAACGUCUCAAAUCUGGGAAAUGAAGACGUUUCUACACUAAGCAUUUGGAAAGUAACGUUGCGAUUUUUGGUCGACGUCUGAAUCUCAGGACAAACCUCUUUCACAGGAGUGAUAAUGGGCACACCUGAAGUGGAAAUAUGCCAUGUUAAAGUUUCAGAAAACUUCAAUGUAUUGACAUGAAAGUCUGACAAUUAGCCAGCUAUCUAUCUUAUACUUAAUAAAAUUGGUCUUAUGAUUAAGUACGGAAGUAUAACUGAAAUAGGAGAAGAGCUUCCUACAUGAAUCUGCCCAUGAGCUUAUCUAUGACCCAAGGUGAAUAAUUCGAGCUUGCUGGGUCAAAGACUUUCUCACGUUCAAACAUUUAUAAAGGCUUCGUAAAAACGUCUAAAACAAGACCUUUGCACACUUACAUCACAGACGAAUAAUCUAGUGUUGUUAUAACUCCAAAACAUACGAGUUUUGAAAUGAGUUAACAAUCUGAUAUCUUCAAGUGAACAUUUGAGAUUGAAAAAAACCGGACCCUUUUCAUACCCCCCCCCCUUAGGAAGCGACCGCGAAUCAUUGUUGAUGAGGCACAAGGAUACAUUAAAAAAAACACCUUUUCAUGAACCAGUGCUGCCGUCCUAGGUUUGCGAGUACUGGAUUGUGAUGUCUGAAGGCGAGCCAGCUGAAGUUCGUCUAAACACACAGUGCUGCAAGCGAGACAUCUACACGGGGAAGGCAAGGGGUCUACAAACAUUCUUGACAAAAAAUGAUACUUUUGAUGUUAACAGAUUAUCAUUACGUAAAUCUCAUCCCAACUUUGCCUCAAGAUAUGGCACAUUGCGGUGCACUCUUCGCGGGAUCGUACUUUCUUGAAUUCUAUGUCUAGUGGCUACGUGCGUAAUCAUGCACUUGACGUU